rnacentral:rRNA from 1 species
AUUGAACGCUGGCGGCAUGCCUUACACAUGCAAGUCGAACGGUAACAGGUUAAGCUGACGAGUGGCGAACGGGUGAGUAAUGCAUCGGAACGUGCCCGGUCGUGGGGGAUAACGCAGCGAAAGCUGCGCUAAUACCGCAUACGAUCUGAGGAUGACAGCGGGGGACCGUAAGGCCUCGCGCGAUCGGAGCGGCCGAUGUCAGAUUAGGUAGUUGGUGGGGUAAAGGCUCACCAAGCCGACGAUCUGUAGCUGGUCUGAGAGGACGACCAGCCACACUGGGACUGAGACACGGCCCAGACUCCUACGGGAGGCAGCAGUGGGGAAUUUUGGACAAUGGGCGCAAGCCUGAUCCAGCAAUGCCGCGUGCAGGAAGAAGGCCUUCGGGUUGUAAACUGCUUUUGUACGGAGCGAAAAGGCUCUCUCUAAUACGGAGGGCUCAUGACGGUACCGUAAGAAUAAGCACCGGCUAACUACGUGCCAGCCGCCGCUGUAA